rnacentral:rRNA from 1 species
AGUGAACGCUGGCGGUAGGCCUAACACAUGCAAGUCGAACGGCAGCACAGUAAGAGCUUGCUCUUACGGGUGGCGAGUGGCGGACGGGUGAGGAAUACAUCGGAAUCUACUUUUUCGUGGGGGAUAACGUAGGGAAACUUACGCUAAUACCGCAUACGACCUACGGGUGAAAGCAGGGGAUCUUCGGACCUUGCGCGAUUGAAUGAGCCGAUGUCGGAUUAGCUAGUUGGCGGGGUAAAGGCCCACCAAGGCGACGAUCCGUAGCUGGUCUGAGAGGAUGAUCAGCCACACUGGAACUGAGACACGGUCCAGACUCCUACGGGAGGCAGCAGUGGGGAAUAUUGGACAAGGGGCGCAAGCCUGAUCCAGCCAUCCCGCGUGGGUGAAGAAGGCCUUGGGGUUGUAAAGCCCUUUGGUUGGGAAAGAAAAGCAGCAGGUUAAUACCCCGCUGUUCUGACGGUACCCAAAGAAUAAGCACCGGCUAACUUCGUG